UCAAAAGUUGCUUAGAUGGUAAAGAAUCUCCCUGCAAUGCAGGAGACCCAGGUUCAAUCCCUGGCUUGGGAA
rnacentral:tRNA from 1 species